UACAGAGGUCCCCAAGCGUUGUUCGGAUUCAUUGGGCGUAAAGGGUGCGUAGGCGGCGCGGUAAGUCGGGUGUGAAAUCUCGGAGCUUAACUCCGAAACUGCAUUCGAUACUGCCGUGCUUGAGGACUGGAGAGGAGACUGGAAUUUACGGUGUAGCGGUGAAAUGCGUAGAUAUCAGGAGGAACACCGGUGGCGAAGGCGGGUCUCUGGGCCGAAAUUGACGCUGAGGAGCGAAAGCGUGGGGAGCAAACAGG
rnacentral:rRNA from 1 species